rnacentral:rRNA from 3 species
UGGGGAAUAUUGGACAAUGGGCGAAAGCCUGAUCCAGCAAUGCCGCGUGAGUGAUGAAGGCCUUAGGGUUGUAAAGCUCUUUUACCCGGGAUGAUAAUGACAGUACCGGGAGAAUAAGCUCCGGCUAACUCCGUGCCAGCAGCCGCGGUAAUACGGAGGGAGCUAGCGUUAUUCGGAAUUACUGGGCGUAAAGCGCACGUAGGCGGCUUUGUAAGUAAGAGGUGAAAGCCUGGUGCUCAACACCAGAACUGCCUUUUAGACUGCAUCGCUUGAAUCCAGGAGAGGUGAGUGGAAUUCCGAGUGUAGAGGUGAAAUUCGUAGAUAUUCGGAAGAACACCAGUGGCGAAGGCGGCUCACUGGACUGGUAUUGACGCUGAGGUGCGAAAGCGUGGGGAGCAAACA